AGAGUUUGAUCCUGGCUCAGAUUGAACGCUAGCGGGAUGCUUUACACAUGCAAGUCGAACGGCAGCACGAGAGAGCUUGCUCUCUUGGUGGCGAGUGGCGGACGGGUGAGUAAUAUAUCGGAACGUGCCCAGUAGCGGGGGAUAACUACUCGAAAGAGUGGCUAAUACCGCAUACGCCCUACGGGGGAAAGGGGGGGAUCGCAAGACCUCUCACUAUUGGAGCGGCCGAUAUCGGAUUGGCUAGUUGGUGGGGUAAAGGCUCACCAAGGCAACGAUCCGUAGCUGGUUUGAGAGGACGACCAGCCACACUGGGACUGAGACACGGCCCAGACUCCUACGGGAGGCAGCAGUGGGGAAUUUUAGACAAUGGGGGAAACCCUGAUCCAGCCAUCCCGCGUGUAUGAUGGAGGCCUUCGGGUUGUAAAGUACUUUUGGCAGAGAAGAAAAGGCAUCCCCUAAUACGGGAUGCUGCUGACGGUAUCUGCAGAAUAAGCACCGGCUAACUACGUGCCAGCAGCCGCGGUAAUACGUAGGGUGCAAGCGUUAAUCGGAAUUACUGGGCGUAAAGCGUGUGUAGGCGGUUCGGAAAGAAAGAUGUGAAAUCCCAGGGCUCAACCUUGGAACUGCAUUUUUAACUGCCGAGCUAGAGUAUGUCAGAGGGGGGUAGAAUUCCACGUGUAGCAGUGAAAUGCGUAGAUAUGUGGAGGAAUACCGAUGGCGAAGGCAGCCCCCUGGGAUAAUACUGACGCUCAGACACGAAAGCGUGGGGAGCAAACAGGAUUAGAUACCCUGGUAGUCCACGCCCUAAA
rnacentral:rRNA from 1 species